CACGAGGUAACUUCAAAAGAUGACCCACUAGGUACAGUGAAGAAGAGCUCUAGCGAACUAGAAUGUGGUACCCAAUCAGACAGCAGGUGGUGUUUUUUUGAGCUGCGACUGAAUUCCACUAGAAGUUCCACUGAAAUUGACAUAUUAAAUUACUUCAUGCUGAUCAUGUUGUGGCAAUAAAGAAGAAAUGAAUUAAAGACGGAGCACUUUGUUAUCUAGAAAGCAUCCCUUACUCCAGCAUUGCAUUGAUGAGGCUCCUCCAGGCUGAAGAUCUGGGAUGUUAGUGGUCAGGGAAAGGCAAGGCAAGAAGAGCGGUCAAUCUGAAAAAGGACCCACUGUUCUAACUUGCCUGCCUGUCAGGAGGGUGUUUGAAGCUUGCGAGCAGACCCUUUUAAAUGAAAUGAUUCAUUUCCCAACACUGUCCAGCCGCACAGAUAGAACUGCUCUGCUGCGUCUGGAUCUUAAGGUUU